rnacentral:misc_RNA from 1 species
CCCUUCUUCACUAAAUUAAAUACCUUUGAAGCUUCUUCUUCAUCCCCACUUCUCUCUUUGUACUUCAAAAUCCCUUUCCACUUUCACUUUCAGCAGCAUUUCUCAGCUUCAAAAUGUAUCGUUUUGCAGCAAAUCUUGCUUCUAAAGCCAGUGUUGCAAGAACCAGUUCCCAAAAGAUUGGUGGGAGGUUGAAUUGGAGUAGAAACUAUGCUGCAAAGGAUAUCAGAUUUGGAGUUGAAGCUAGAGCUUUGAUGCUUCAAGGUGUUGAGCAGCUUGCUGAUGCUGUUAAAGUCACUAUGGGUCCAAAGGGGCGUAAUGUGGUGAUUGAACAAAGUUGGGGUGCACCCAAAGUGACAAAAGAUGGCGUGACUGUUGCAAAAAGUAUUGAAUUCAAGGACAAGAUACAAAAUGUUGGUGCUAGCCUUGUAAAACAAGUCGCCAAUGCAACAAAUGAUGUUGCUGGUGAUGGUACCACUUGUGCAACAGUUCUCACCCGAGCAAUAUUUGCUGAAGGAUGCAAGUCAGUGGCAGCUGGUAUGAAUGCAAUGGACCUUAGACGGGGUAUUACCAUGGCUGUAGAUUCUGUUGUGACAAACCUGAAAAGCAGAGCACGGAUGAUCAGUACAUCUGAGGAAAUUGCACAGGUUGGGACUAUCUCUGCAAACGGAGAAAGAGUAAUUGGCGACCUCAUUGCAAGGGCAAUGGAGAAAGUAGGCAAGGAGGGAGUCAUCACUAUUCAAGACGGGAAGACAUUGCUCAAUGAGUUGGAUGUUGUUGAAGGGAUGAAGUUGGAUAGAGGUUACAUAUCACCAUACUUCAUCACAAAUCAGAAGAAUCAGAAAUGUGAACUGGAUAACCCACUAAUUCUGAUUCAUGAGAAAAAGAUCUCAAGCAUUAAUGCUGUUGUGAAAGCAUUGGAGUUAGCUCUGAAGAGACAAAGGCCCCUCUUAAUUGUGGCUGAAGAUGUGGACAAUGAAGCACUCGCCACUCUUAUUUUGAACAAACUCCGUGCUGGAAUCAAGGUUUGUGCCAUCAAAGCACCAGGCUUUGGUGAAAACAGGAAAGCUUAUUUGCAAGAUCUUGCUAUUUUAACUGGAGGCCAAGUCAUAACAGAAGAGCUUGGACUGAACAUUGAAAAUUUGGAGUUCGAGAUGCUGGGAACAAGUAAAGAGGCAACUAUCUCUAAGGAUGAUACUGUCAUUCUUGAUGGUGCUGGUGAGAAGAAGUCCAUCGAGGAACGAUGCGAACUGAUUAGAUCAACCAUUGAACAGAGCACAUCUGACUAUGACAAGGAGAAGUUGCAGGAAAGACUAGCUAAGCUUUCAGGGGGUGUUGCUGUGUUAAAGAUUGGAGGAGCCAGUGAAGCUGAGGUUGGUGAAAAGAAAGAUAGAGUAACUGAUGCUUUGAACGCCACAAAGGCUGCAGUGGAGGAAGGAAUUGUUCCAGGUGGUGGUGUUGC